AACGAACGCUGGCGGCAUGCCUAACACAUGCAAGUCGAACGAGACCUUCGGGUCUAGUGGCGCACGGGUGCGUAACGCGUGGGAACCUGCCCUUAGGUUCGGAAUAACUCCCCGAAAGGGGUGCUAAUACCGGUUAAUGUCUUCGGACCAAAGAUUUAUCGCCUUUGGAUGGGCCCGCGUUGGAUUCGCUAGUUGGUAGGGUAAAAGCCUACCAAGGCGACGAUCCAUAGCUGGUCUGAGAGGAUGAUCAGCCACACUGGGACUGAGACACGGCCCAGACUCCUACGGGAGGCAGCAGUGGGGAAUAUUGGACAAUGGGCGAAAGCCUGAUCCAGCAAUGCCGCGUGAGUGAUGAAGGCCUUAGGGUUGUAAAGCUCUUUUACCCGGGAUGAUAAUGACAGUACCGGGAGAAUAAGCUCCGGCUAACUCCGUG
rnacentral:rRNA from 1 species